GAUGAACGCUAGCGGCAGGCUUAACACAUGCAAGUCGAGGGGUAUAGUAGCAAUACUAGAGACCGGCGCACGGGUGCGUAACGCGUAUGCAAUCUACCUUUUGCAGAGGGAUAGCACAGAGAAAUUUGGAUUAAUACCUCGUAGUAUAUAGAGUUGGCAUCAACACGAUAUUAAAGUCACAACGGCAAAAGAUGAGCAUGCGUCCCAUUAGCUUGUUGGUAAGGUAACGGCUUACCAAGGCAACGAUGGGUAGGGGUCCUGAGAGGGAGAUCCCCCCGCCUGUUACUGAGACAAGGACCAGACGCCGACGGGAGGCAGCAGUGAGGAAUAUUGGACAAUGGGCGCAAGCCUGAUCCAGCCAUGCCGCGUGCAGGAUGACGGUCCUAUGGAUUGUAAACUGCUUUUGCACAGGAAGAAACAUCCCGACGUGUCGGGACUUGACGGUACUGUGAGAAUAAGGAUCGGCUAACUCCGUGCCAGCAGCCGCCGUAACAC
rnacentral:rRNA from 1 species